GAAAAGAUAAAGAGAGUAGUUCCCUGACACAUGGUUGCCCUAGUUAGAACAGCUCAGACCAGCCAUCACUGUGUGGGUGUAACCCAAAACUGUGUAUUCUACACCCUCCAUGCCAUUUCCCAGAAACUGUUGACAAUAGACCACUUGCAGCAGCUGCCCAGAGCACGCCUGACCCCUCAGGCUA